rnacentral:misc_RNA from 1 species
UCUCGGCUUAUCACCGGCAGUCCCCCUAGAGUGCCCAACUGAAUGAUGGCAACUAAGGGCAAGGGUUGCGCUCGUUGCGGAACUUAACCCAACAUCUCACGACACGAGCUGACGACAGCCAUGCAGCACCUGUGUGCAGGUCCCCGAAGGGCUGCCGUAUUUCUACGACAUUCCCGUGCAUGUCAAGCCCUGGUAAGGUUCUUCGCGUCGCGUCGAAUUAAACCACAUGCUCCGCUGCUUGUGCGGGCCCCCGUCAAUUCCUUUGAGUUUCAACCUUGCGGUCGUACUCCCCAGGCGGGGUACUUCCUGCGUUAGCGCCGGCACCCAGAGGGUCGCUCCCCCAGGCACCUAGUACCCAUCGUUUACGGCGUGGACUAC